rnacentral:rRNA from 1 species
CCUACGGGUGGCAGCAGUGAGGAAUAUUGGUCAAUGGACGCAAGUCUGAACCAGCCAUGCCGCGUGCAGGAAGACGGCCCUAUGAGUUGUAAACUGCUUUUGUACGAGGGUAAACGCAGAUACGCGUAUCUGUCUGAAAGUAUCGUACGAAUAAGGAUCGGCUAACUCCGUGCCAGCAGCCGCGGUAAUCCGGAGGAUUCAAGCGUUAUCCGGAUUUAUUGGGUUUAAAGGGUGCGUAGGCGGUCGGAUAAGUUAGAGGUGAAAUCCCGAGGCUCAACUUCGGAAUUGCCUCUGAUACUGGUAGGCUAGAGAGUAGGUGCGGUAGGCGGAAUGUAUGGUGUAGCGGUGAAAUGCUUAGAGAUCAUACAGAACACCGAUUGCGAAGGCAGCUUACCAAGCUACUUCUGACGUUGAGGCACGAAAGCGUGGGGAGCAAACAGGAUUAGAUACCCUGGUAGUC